AGAAAGCCCCCGAUCGACAACCGCUCGUCUCUCUCCAAUUCCAUCCCCGACCUGUCCUCUCACAGCCGCGACACGAAGUGCGCCGCCAUUCCGCCGCACGGUGCAGUCCCCCACCCCCUCCCCGCGCUGGAACGACGCCUGCAUUCCUCGCCCACGUGGGCCACCAGCGAGAGAGAGUGGAUCCAGGCGCUUGCGAUACGGCCGACGCGAUCCACCAGCGAGAGAGAGGGGAUCCAGGCGCUUGUGAUUCGGCCGACGCGGGUUCUGCAAGGGAUCUAAUCGGCAUGAUGAGAAAUUACAUCGGCAAGGAUAAUUCAUUGACCUGAAUUACCAUUGUUUCUCGAACAAUGAGAGAUGGGUGGAGGUACAUACACACGGUCGCCGAUGCAUAUAUAUAUAGACACACACACAUACACAUGCGAAGCUUACAACUGGAUCCGGCCUCCGUCUGCCGCGUCAAUCUCUGUGUUUUUUAUGAAUAAAUGUGUGUCAUCCUGUCGAUCAACAUGGACGUGCACUUCGAGCAGAGAUGAAACUCUACAUGAGAUUUCCUAUCUUCCAGGAAGUGAUCCAGCAUGGGCAAACUGAUCUGGAUGGUGGAAGCUAGGUGGUAAGGUAUCGGGAAGAGGUACCUCCAGAAUCAUCGGUGACGGCGCUCGUUCGAGGGGGGCAAGUUGCUGAACGUGGUGCAAACUACAGCGACAAAGCGCCCACGGAGUCAGGUGAAUUUGCUGUGAAGUCGGAUACGAAAGCUCUUGAUGGACUAAGAGGUAAUUAGUUUACUUUGGUAAGAACUAGAACGGUUCGUCCAUUGGCAUGUGCCUGAAUGUUCUUUAAAUUCCUUGAACUUAAUCAUAGUGUGAAAAUGGUGAUGGUCGAUAUGUAAUGCAUUCUGAUGUAGUUGAACAAGUGGGUUGCUUUAGCUCAAGGAAUUAAGCACUGUGCGGUGCCGUGGGAAAGCAUCUGCACUAUGCCAUCAAAAUCAUGAUUUCGGAAUGUGCCAUGCUUGCUGUUUCAAUUUUUUCCGGUUUGCCAUGGCACAGUAGGGGAGCUGACUUUCUCUCGGAUGAGUUUGAUUUCCUACCUUACUGAAAUGCAGUGAAACCAAAAUGUUUGCACUUUGGCAUGGUAGGGGAGCUGACUUUCAUGAAGAAGCAAAACUUUGUGGAAAUCAAAAUGCAGGUAUGCCCAAAGAAUUAACAUACUUUAUCAAUUUCUCUUAUUCUGAGUUCAAUCGCCAAAUGAUUAUUUGUUAUAAUACAUACACAAUCAUCAAAUAUUCCAAUUGUUGAAUCAUGAGCUAUUCCAAGCCGUCUUGAUUAGUGUCAUUUUCUACUGGUUCUCUUAUGGCAUGUUAAUUAUCAAGCAAAUCCAAUUCAAUUACUUCCCGCAAUGUUGGAUAUAUAGGCAUAUUAGCAAUGAUACAUCUAUCCAACAUCAAGAUUUCUACUUUUGGACCCGUAGAGAGUUUUACUUGUGGUUGUAUGAUCUGAUUGCAUUUAUUCAAUACCCAGUUCAUCCUUCCCGUAACACUACUCUUCAUAUGUAUUGAUUUUCCUAGCCCAUUCCAAUAACUAAACUUCAUCUGAAUAUCAAGUUUUACUGAUUAAGUUCUACUCUUAAGAAACGGGUUAUGCAUAGGGAAGUGGCAUGCAGGUGUUACUAAAUACAGAAAAACAUGUUGUUCCCAUGCACUUUUAAUUUGUCUCCAAUCCGACCAAAUAGUAUCUCCUGUUUAUCCAGAUCUUGCAAAGACUAAAGGAUAUUGAAUGUUUGCUAAAUGAGUAAUCCUACUUUAUAUGCUUCUUCGGAACCUCCUACAGAGGUUUGCCAUGAGCAUAGGGCAUUGCUGCAUCUUAUUUGGAUGUGCACUAAUUUAUAGAUAGUACCCUUUAUGUUGCAUCUUAAGUUUAGUCCAGUUUUAGCUGUCAACUCAUCUCAUAUGUUCAUCUUCCUGUUCAUCCGAUUCAAUGAGAGACGGAUGCUGCUGCGACCUUAAGUGCCGAUUAUCUCUGUACAUACACCGAACCAACAAAGGAUGUCAUUUAUUCUGUAGCUUUCCUGGGUAAGAAGAAUAAUGUACACUCAUCUUUGCAUAGUUUUCAAAUAGUUGAGUUUGCGAUGUGCAUGACCAAGUGAGGCUACACGGCUCACUAAGUACUAUUUUUGCAGUGUCUUGGACCGUUAUUUAUACUAAAAAAUGUAUUUGUAUUGAUGGCACGGUUGCAUUUUGGUUCUAUAUGUUCCAUUGAUAUUUUUUUCCUAUACAGAUGUACAAGGCUCAAGAAUUGAGACUUGAGAAUAUCAAAUGCGCCAAUGGUUGAAAGAGCUCAUCCGUCCACUGAGAGCGUUGCCGCUUUACACAUGCCAUUUAUUAAUCCAUUUGCUUCUUAGUCGCACUAGAUACUGUUUGUCAUAUAUUUUAGACAAAUCUCUGAAUCUGGCGGCACUAAAGUAUGAAAUUUCUAACAUUACCAAGUCAUAAGCUGUAAUUAGUUCCUUAUUAUGUUUCUUGCAUCUAUAUAUUAUCAUCAAUUCCUAUCAUUUUAUCGUCAAAAUAGAUUGGCGCGGCAACAUGUAUCACCCAUGUUCUCUGUGUCUAGACAAAUCUAAGACAACUAAUUUGGGAUGGAGGUCGUAUAACUUUGUAUCAUCUGCUAUCCAGUUAUUGCAAGUUUGAUGUGUGAA